UGUGCGUGUAUAGACAAGGUGUUUUGGGCGUUGGUGGCUCCUGUCAUUUCUGUCAUUUACUGUAGUAAUUCAUUAACGAUGAGACAGCAAGUGGGCUGUCUGAAGGUGGUCUUUGCCUCUGAUUGUCAGUUUACCGUCUCAGCUGAGAAGCACCAAACUGCUGGCAUUUUGGUUCACGCUGAAGUGAAUAAAGAACAUCUGCUUCAGAAAUGUAGUAACUGGUCUUUGUUUUUAUGCUGUCUUUUUCAUACACCCUCAUUCUCAGUCCCUGAGUCAACCUCACUCUCUUUCAGACUACAAGACACUCCCUGCAACUUCCUUUACUUCAGCACUUCACAGCUCUCUCCAUUUCAUUCAUCCCUCUGUCUGGACCUCCUGGAAUGUCCGAGAUGGGUGUGUGCUUUCUAAAUGUGUUUCUUUUUUUUCUUUUUUUUUACUCCCCACCUCCUCAACAAACAUCGCAGCCCCGAACCCACAAGUUCAAUGUCAUGCAUCAAAAAACAGCAGGAAACAAGAGGCAACCAAAACA